rnacentral:rRNA from 1 species
UACAGAGGUCUCAAGCGUUGUUCGGAUUCAUUGGGCGUAAAGGGUGUGUAGGUGGCGCACUAAGUCGGGUGUGAAAUUUCGGAGCUUAACUCCGAAACUGCAUUCGAUACUGGCGUGCUUGAGGACUGGAGAGGAGACUGGAAUUCAUGGUGUAGCAGUGAAAUGCGUAGAGAUCAUGAGGAAGACCAGUGGCGAAGGCGGGUCUCUGGACAGUUCCUGACACUGAGGCACGAAGGCCAGGGGAGCAAACGGG